rnacentral:tRNA from 1 species
GAAGAUAUAGCUCAAGUGGUAGAGCACGUGCUUAGCAUGCACAAGGUCCUGGGUUUAAUUCCCAGUACCUCCA